rnacentral:rRNA from 1 species
UACGAAGGGGGCUAGCGUUGUUCGGAUUUACUGGGCGUAAAGCGCACGUAGGCGGAUCGUUAAGUCGGGGGUGAAAUCCUGGAGCUCAACUCCAGAACUGCCUUCGAUACUGGCGAUCUUGAGUCCGGAAGAGGAGAGUGGAAUUCCUGGUGUAGCGGUGAAAUGCGCAGAUAUCAGGAAGAACACCCGUGGCGAAGGCGGCUCUCUGGGACGGUACUGACGCUGAGACGCGAAAGCGUGGGGAGCGAACAGG